GACGUAGGGGGCAAGCGUUAUCCGGAAUUAUUGGGCGUAAAGCGCGCGCAGGCGGUUUCUUAAGUCUGAUGUGAAAGCCCACGGCUCAACCGUGGAGGGUCAUUGGAAACUGGGGAACUUGAGUGCAGAAGAGAAAAGCGGAAUUCCACGUGUAGCGGUGAAAUGCGUAGAGAUGUGGAGGAACACCAGUGGCGAAGGCGGCUUUUUUGGUCUGUAACUGACGCUGAGGCGCGAAAAGCGUGGGGGAGCAAACAGGG
rnacentral:rRNA from 1 species